AACAUGUAUAGAAUUUGCUUUUGCGAUGCAAUCGGUCGAAACGAUGGCAAGUGCUGCUGAUAACUGAGUCAAAAAGGCAGAGGAUUAGGAAAUUUAUGCUCUCGUAGCGAUCCGAGUAUCACCAAGGAUAAGAAACCGGAGCCGGCGGUUGGCAGUCCGGAAAAAGAGGAUGCGGAAAAACCUAGUCCAUCGGCAGUAGAACCAGCGACGGUUACUCCCGUAGAAACGGCUGAACCUGCAGUUUUGAGUUCGUUAAUUAUGGAAAUUCUGACUGGCUGCUCCUGAAGAAAGACAAGCUGCUAGUGGAAAUAGAAAAACAGCUUCCUACACGGAAGAUGCAGAUGCAUUCAACCCGGAGGAUGCAAAAAAACUUUCGAAGCUUUGCACAUGAAGCCGGAACUGCUUCAGGGAGUCUAUGCUAUGGAUUCCAACGCCCCUUCCAAGAUUCAGGAAACGGCUCUACCUACUCUGUUGGCCGAUCCGCCCAGCACAUGAUCGCCCAGUCAGUCAGAAACAAGAAAAACCGCUGCUUUCGCGCGGACAAUGCUCAGUCGAGUCGAUCCGUUAAAAAAACUAUCCGCAGGUGAUUUGCCUUUCCCUUACGUAUGAACUGGCAAAUCAGAAGGGGGUAGCA